rnacentral:rRNA from 1 species
UACGAAGGGUGCAAGCGUUACUCGGAAUUACUGGGCGUAAAGGGUGCGUAGGUGGUUGUUUAAGUCUGCUGUGAAAGCCCCGGGCUCAACCUGGGAAUGGCAGUGGAUACUGGACAGCUAGAGUGCGGUAGAGGGUAGUGGAAUUCCCGGUGUAGCAGUGAAAUGCGUAGAGAUCGGGAGGAACACCAGUGGCGAAGGCGGCGAGCUGGUCCAUUACUGACGCUGAGGCGCGACAGCGUGGGGAGCAAACAGG